CACGAGCCCGGAAGUAGUCGAGAGACUCGGAGCCGCCUGGGGUCUAAGUUGUUGGCGUUUGUUUCUCCGCGUGUGCAGGCUCUGCCGCCGCCGCCGCCGCCGCCAUGGGGAAACGACAGCACCAGAAGGACAAGAUGUACAUUACCUGUGCUGAAUAUACUCAUUUUUAUGGUGGCAAAAAGCCAGAUGUCCCACAAACAAAUUUUCGUCGUUUACCUUUUGACCACUGCAGUCUCUCUCUGCAGCCCUUUGCCUACCCGGUCUGUACUCCUGAAGGUGUCGUCUUUGACUUGCUGAACAUUGUUCCAUGGCUUAAGAAGUAUGGGACCAAUCCCAGCAAUGGAGAGAAACUCGAUGGGAGAUCCCUCAUCAAGCUGAACUUUGCCAAGAACAGCGAAGGGAAGUUCCACUGCCCGGUGCUGUUCACCGUGUUCACCAACAACACCCACAUCGUGGCCAUCAAGACGACCGGCAAUGUCUACGCCUAUGAGGCAGUGGAGCAGUUAAACAUCAAGGCCAAGAACUUCCGGGACCUGCUGACCGAUGAGCCCUUCUCUCGGCAGGACAUCAUCACCCUCCAGGACCCCACCAAUUUGGACAAGUUCAAUGUCUCCAACUUCUUCCACGUUAAGAAUAACAUGAAAAUAAUAGACCCAGACGAGGAAAAGGCCAAGCAGGACCCAUCUUACUAUCUGAAGAACACAAACACUGAAACCCGAGAGACCCUGCAGGAGCUCUACAAGGAGUUCAAAGGGGAUGAGAUUCUGGCAGCCACCAUGAAGGCCCCCGAGAAGAAGAAAGUGGACCAGCUGAACGCUGCUCACUACUCCACGGGGAAGGUCAGUGCGUCCUUCACCUCUACUGCCAUGGUGCCAGAGACCACCCAUGAAGCAGCGGCCAUCGACGAGGACGUGCUGCGUUACCAGUUCGUGAAGAAGAAGGGCUAUGUGCGGCUGCACACCAACAAGGGUGACCUCAAUCUGGAGCUGCACUGCGACCUGACACCGAAAACCUGUGAAAACUUCAUCAAGCUCUGCAAGAAGCACUAUUAUGAUGGCACCGUCUUUCAUAGAUCUAUCAGGAACUUUGUGAUCCAAGGCGGGGACCCUACGGGCACAGGCACAGGCGGGGAGUCGUACUGGGGAAAGCCCUUCAAAGAUGAGUUCCGGCCCAACCUCUCACACACGGGCCGAGGCAUCCUCAGCAUGGCCAACUCAGGGCCCAACACCAACAAGUCCCAGUUCUUCAUCACCUUCCGUUCCUGUGCAUACCUGGACAAGAAGCACACCAUCUUUGGACGGGUUGUUGGGGGCUUCGACACACUGACAGCCAUGGAGAAUGUGGAGAGCGACCCCAAGACGGACCGCCCUAAGGAGGAUGUCCGCAUCGAUGCCACCACAGUGUUCGUGGACCCCUACGAGGAGGCCGAUGCCCAGAUUGCUCAGGAGCGGAAGACAAAGCUUGAAGUGACCCCAGAGACCAAGACGAAAACCAACCAGCCCCCGCCUGGGAGCCAGGGCCCCCAGACAUACCGCCAGGGAGUGGGCAAGUACAUCAACCCAGCAGCCACGAAACGUGCGGCAGAGGAAGAACCAUCAACCAGUACAGCUGCCCCUGUAGCCAAGAAAAAGCCCAGUUGCGGUUUUGGGGACUUCAGCUCCUGGUAGCAGCAGGCGGCCCACACUGACUCCUGGGAUCCCGGGACAACUCAGGCUGGCCAGUUAGAAACACGCUCUCAGGGCCCAGACCUGACCCUGAGCUGCUGGAAACCGGGGCUUCCCAACCCGUUGUGGCAAACCCAGGGAGGUUUUCGACCCAGACUGGAGCAUUGGCGCAAUUCCUGACAGCUCUUAGUUCUACAGUGCACCUGGUCCUGCGUAUCUUCCUCUGAUGCUGAAACCGCAGGCCUGAGCCCUGUCCAGGAGGCAGCAUCCGCCCCCGUCACUGUGCACCCUGCCCCCAGCCACUUUAUACUGCUGCUGAGUGACCUUCACAAGGCACGUUUUCCCACUGUCACCAGGCUUUAUUCCAGUCACUGGCUUUCCUUGUGCUAAGAAUAAGGUCUGUGGCUCCCCCAGGCCACGCCCCUUCUCUAGCCUGUCCCUCUACAGCCACUCCUGCCCAUUGGUCAGGGGCCCCAAGCUCCACAGUGACCUUCCAGGCUCCUUCCCCACACCCCUGUAUGUGUGCCGCCAGGCUCCCCUCCUCGGAUCCUCCCCGUCAGCCCGUGGCUGUGGGCCGAUACCACACAUCUGCAAGAAGUGGGGAGGGCUCUGAGGCUCCGGGGUUGACCAGGUGGACAUAAACCUAUAGGCCACUGAGCCUGCACUGGGGAGCUCAGGUGUGGGUGGGGGCAGAGGCCUUGGGGCAGGGAGGGGUGCACUGGGAGCAACUGGGACUGAACAGACACCUGCCACCUGCGGGGUAGGGGUGCGGCCGCUCUCCAUGGUCACCCUAAUCAUAUCCUUACGCUCUUCCUGGCCAUGUUGAAAAGCCGCCGACCUGGUGAUGACAGAAACGGGACCCUGGCAACCCUCAGUCCCUGGAGCAGCUCUGAGACCUGAUGUGGGCGCUGCAGGAAGCCGGGCCCAUCCCUUCACAUGAAGGAGCAGCCUCCCCACAGUGAUCAGCAAGCAGCCAAGAAGUCUGACAUAGGAAGCUUUAUUUAUAAACCUCACAUGGACAGAAGACCAAGGCUGGCUGCACGGCCGGUGGGGAAGGACAGGCUGAGGCGGGGUGUGUGCUUGAGCGAGGCGGUCCGCCCUCAGGGUGGGGUUUCCAGCUGCCUCCAGGCUGCUAACCCACCCAAGCAGCCUCACCAGCGCCUGCGCCUGCCUCGAGGGCGAGGAGGCGAGGCCCGGGCCCUGCCCUCGCUCUCGCCCUUCAGGCCUUUCACAGAGGCUGGCUGACAUUUUUGUAGUUCAUUUUAGAGCUUUCUAGAUAUGAAAACCACAAGAAUUUUAUAAUUCCCUGAUAUGGUCAUCAGGUAAAAUAAAGGACUUGGGGUGGGGGGAAUCUCAUUUCUGAUCCUUUCAAAUAUCUGACAGAUGCCAUCAAUAAAUAUCAAGGUAUAAAAA